rnacentral:lncRNA from 1 species
UCACUGUUUCAUUGAUUAUGGACUGAAUGACUGAGAACCCGAUGUUGUGUGUUGUCUUGUUGGCAUGAACUACUGGUUUGCAUGUUUGUGUGUGACUUGAUGACGGUGACUAAAGAAAAAGGGAUAAAAGGUUAUGUGAAUUGGCAAACGGAUAAUGUGGACAGCCUGACUAGGUAUCCUGGGAGAUGGUGGACGGACCGGGUCCGUAGGGAACCCUACCGGGAACGUGGUCUCUCAUACCAGACGGGGUAUGGAGACCUUAUGUGUUUUGGCGCCCAUACCGGAUGGGGUAUGGGGACGGCCCGUUUCACCCUCAUACCGGAUGGGGUAUUGAGGUUUAUAGUUUUGGUGCCCAUACUGGACGGGGUAUG